GAUGAACGCUGGCGGCGUGCCUAAUACAUGCAAGUCGAGCGAACAGACGAGGAGCUUGCUCCUCUGACGUUAGCGGCGGACGGGUGAGUAACACGUGGAUAACCUACCUAUAAGACUGGGAUAACUUCGGGAAACCGGAGCUAAUACCGGAUAAUAUAUUGAACCGCAUGGUUCAAUAGUGAAAGACGGUUUUGCUGUCACUUAUAGAUGGAUCCGCGCCGCAUUAGCUAGUUGGUAAGGUAACGGCUUACCAAGGCAACGAUGCGUAGCCGACCUGAGAGGGGGAUCGGCCACACUGGAACUGAGCCACGGUCCAGACUCCUACGGGAGGCAGCAGUAGGGAAUCUUCCGCAAUGGGCGAAAGCUUGACGGAGCAACGCCGCGUGGGUGAUGAAGGUCUUCGGAUCGUAAAACUCUGUUAUUAGGAAAGAACAAAUGUGUAAGUAACUAUGCACGUCUUGACGGUACCUAAUCAGAAAGCCACGGCUAACUACGU
rnacentral:rRNA from 1 species